rnacentral:misc_RNA from 1 species
UUAUUUCUCAUGUUUGAUUCAGACACAAAGACUGAUUAAUGCAUAAAAGCGACGCCAAAGCGCCGAAGCACAUCUUGCUUCCACAGGUUUGCAAGGUUGAAGGCCCAGAGGCCAUUCAGUAAUGAUCCCUCCGCAGGUUCACCUACGGAGA